rnacentral:rRNA from 1 species
UACGUAGGUGGCAAGCGUUGUUCGGAAUUAUUGGGCGUAAAGGGCGCGUAGGCGGUUUGUUAAGUCAGCUGUGAAAGCCCGGGGCUCAACCCCGGAGGGUCAGCUGAUACUGGCAGACUAGAGUACAGAAGAGGUAACUGGAAUUCCCGGUGUAGCGGUGAAAUGCGCAGAUAUCAGGAGGAACACCGGUGGCGAAGGCGGGUCUCUGGGCCGAUACUGACGCUGAGGAGCGAAAGCGUGGGGAGCGAACAGG